rnacentral:rRNA from 1 species
AAUAGAUACCCCGGUAGUCCACGCCGUAAACGAUGAGUGCUAAGUGUUAGAGGGUUUCCGCCCUUUAGUGCUGCAGCUAACGCAUUAAGCACUCCGCCUGGGGAGUACGGUCGCAAGACUGAAACUCAAAGGAAUUGACGGGGGCCCGCACAAGCGGUGGAGCAUGUGGUUUAAUUCGAAGCAACGCGAAGAACCUUACCAGGUCUUGACAUCCCACUGACCGGUAUAGAGAUAUACCUUUCCCUUCGGGGACAGUGGUGACAGGUGGUGCAUGGUUGUCGUCAGCUCGUGUCGUGAGAUGUUGGGUUAAGUCCCGCAACGAGCGCAACCCUUGAUCUUAGUUGCCAGCAUUUAGUUGGGCACUCUAAGGUGACUGCCGGUGACAAACCGGAGGAAGGUGGGGAUGACGGUCAAAUCAUCAUGCCCCUUAUGACCUGGGCUACACACGUGCUACAAUGGAUGGUACAAAGGGCUGCAAGACUGCGAAGUCAAGCCAAUCCCAUAAAACCNUUCUCAGUUCGGAUUGCAGG